rnacentral:rRNA from 1 species
UACGGAGGGUGCAAGCGUUGUUCGGAAUUAUUGGGCGUAAAGGGAGCGUAGGCGGGAGUGCAAGUCAAGUGUCAAAUCUAUCGGCUCAACCGGUAGCCGCGCUUGAAACUGCAUUUCUUGAGUGAAGUAGAGGCAGACGGAAUUCCUAGUGUAGCGGUGAAAUGCGUAGAUAUUAGGAGGAACACCAGUGGCGAAGGCGGUCUGCUGGGCUUUAACUGACGCUGAGGCUCGAAAGCAUGGGUAGCGAACAGG